rnacentral:rRNA from 1 species
AGCAGUAGCCGCGGGAAUACGAAGGGUGCAAGCGUUACUCGGAAUUACUGGGCGUAAAGCGUGCGUAGGUGGUGGUUUAAGUCCGUUGUGAAAGCCCUGGGCUCAACCUGGGAAUUGCAGUGGAUACUGGGUCACUAGAGUGUGGUGGAGGAUAGUGGAAUUUCCGGUGUAGCAGUGAAAUGCGUAGAGAUCGGAAGGAACAUCUGUGGCGAAGGCGACUAUCUGGGCCAACACUGACACUGAGGCACGAAAGCGUGGGGAGCAAACAGGAUUAGAUACCCCCGUAGUCCCUGUCUCUUAUAA